ACAACCAUCUGGAAGUUUCGCGAGACUACAUUCUCUUUGAUAGCGCAGAGGCUAGCGCCCACAUUCUGCCAGAAGAUGUAUUUUUAUUUUAUAAGAGACUGCGUUCACACCCGGUUGUGACCCCCACGACCCGGGUAUGACCCCCACGAAAGGAGGCGUCAUCACAUCAGACCACUUUGGAUCAAAAAAUACCUAGCUUCUUUAUUUUCGGCCUGGCAUCAAUGGAGAAAUUGUCUCCGGAGAAUCAUGCACAUCUUCUGCACAAACACAAUAUCAAACACCAAGCUCCUUAGACAAAUGAAGCAGGAAGCCAUGGAUGCCAUACAUAAGAGACGCCGCUGGAGCUGGAUUGGACACGCCCUGAGAAAGAGUACAGACUCCAUCCCAAGAAUAGGUGUCCAUUGGACUCCAGAGGGUGGGUGUAAAAGCGGGAGGCCCAAGACAAAGGGGCGGUAAACAAUCAACCAAAUCAGCAGAGCUGGGGCACGGUGGAGAAUAUGGCCAGAGUCAGACAGAAAAGGUCAUGUGACCUUGUGCUGUCAACCUUCCAGAGGACUGGGGAGACUUCUGUCUGUCCAGUGCCGUUCCACCUGGAACAGGAGAGAUGGACAGACGGUCAUGAGGUUUAUAUUGGAUUCGUUGGAAAAACUGGAAGAAAGAAAUCACAGCUAAAGAUAAUACCUCAGUAAUAAAGUAGUGCCCUAUGCAUUUGACUUUCAUACUCUCCGUGAAUAUCAAUUCAUUAAUAGAGAAAGAAUAAAUGCUGUACUGUGUUUUUACCUACAUUCUACCAGUAUGUCUCAAAUCAAUAAAAUGAAUGC